AACAAUAACCUACUAGUCUAGUUAGUGUAACUCAUACAUGCACGAGUAUGGAGCAUCCACUAGAGGAUGGGUGACCUGCCAGUAUUUACAUCUCCACAAGUGAUUCUCCGUCCCCAUGUUCACUGUCAGUAGCUUCUCAGUAAGGGACAUGCUGGGAUUUGGCUUACAGUGUAAUCUUACAAUGUAGGGCUUGUGCAUGCAGUCACCUUUGCUGAGUUCAGGGUUACUGUACUCACGUCAGACACAAGCAGCAGAAACCCCCAGCAUUUCACGGCACUCCUCCUUCCCUCUGGCUCUUCUAUUCUUGUUGCUUUUUCUUUGAUUUUUCGCUGAGCUUUGCUGAUGGCGGAGAUUAAUAUAGCUGUCUCAUUUAGAGGUGAACAUUCAGUCUCUUUCGUAGCCCUUUGACCAGUUGUGCACCACUCCAUUGACAGCUGUCCACUAUAAAAAGAAGCUUUUCUGACCAAAGUUGAGAGCAGUCACGUUCUCUUGGUGCCAAGAGCUGAAUGGAUGGCAGGAACUUAGUUUAUAGGGUGUUUUGUUUUGUUUUGUUUUUUCAGAUGGUGUCAUGCUUCAUGGCCUUGGCUAGCCUAAGUAGGCCAGAUUAUUGUCAACUUGUGCUUAAUUUUUAUUUAAGUCAUGAACUAUUAGUGUAUGUGUGUGUGUUUUAUGUAAUUUUACUGUGUAAAAUUUGCUUUUCAUGUGUAUUUCAUUUUCAUUGUAACUUCUCUAGUUAUUACACUAAGAGAUAUAUUGGUAGUACUGCCUUACUAAAACCAUGUGUUCAAUAAAUUUACUCUGUAUACAUGGUAAGUGAGUGGCUCAUCUAUAAAAGGAUUCUCCAUAUUGCUUCAGGCAAAACUAACGUUUUAAUUUGGAAGUCUUACAAGGAUUGGUUCUGUAGUUCAGUGUUCCCUGUGUUGGAUGCGCUGAGUGGUGACUAUAGUUCUGCUCUUCUAAUCACAACGGUUGUUAUCCAGAAGACUGAGUGCUGGAUUAAAGGGAGAUGGAAGUCGUGAGAUGUGCUAGUUAGUCCACCAGUGAGAAGAAGGUACUUUCC
rnacentral:lncRNA from 1 species